CCUACGGGAGACAGCAGUGAGGAAUAUUGGUCAAUGGACGAGAGUCUGAACCAGCCAAGUAGCGUGAAGGAUGACUGCCCUAUGGGUUGUAAACUUCUUUUAUAUGGGAAUAAAACGUUCCACGUGUGGGAUUUUGUAUGUACCAUAUGAAUAAGGAUCGGCUAACUCCGUGCCAGCAGCCGCGGUAAUACGGAGGAUCCGAGCGUCAUCCGGAUUUAUUGGGUUUAAAGGGAGCGUAGGUGGAUUGUUAAGUCAGUUGUGAAAGUUUGCGGCUCAACCGUAAAAUUGCAGUUGAAACUGGCAGUCUUGAGUACAGUAGAGGUGGGCGGAAUUCGUGGUGUAGCGGUGAAAUGCUUAGAUAUCACGAAGAACUCCGAUUGCGAAGGCAGUUCACUGGACUGCAACUGACACUGAGGCUCGAAAGUGUGGGUAUCAAACAGGAUUAGAUACCCUUGUAGUC
rnacentral:rRNA from 1 species